rnacentral:lncRNA from 1 species
CCGGCGAGAAAAACAAAAGAACGAGAGAAACGAAGAAGAGAGAGAAAGAGGAAAGAGAAAAAGUAAUAAGAGUAUUUUGGUCAGUUUGCUGAAAAAGCGGACCGAAUCUGCAAAAACGAAAAAGGUGGCCCGGUUUUACAAAAGCACAAAAUAAAUGGAUUUUUUAUGCAAAUUGGCCAAAAUAUUAUAUAUUCCUUACUAUAUAUCUUAAUAUUUUGAGAAACAAUAAUUAUUUCACAUUGUUUAUCAUAAUAUUUCUA